rnacentral:lncRNA from 1 species
UGGUCACUCAGUGAUGGUCACAGUGAUGGUCACUCAGUGGUCACUGUGAUGGUCACUCAGUGAUGGUCACUCAUUGGUCACUCAGGGUCACUCAGGGUCACUCAGUGGUCACUCAGCGGUCACUCAGCGGUCACUCAGGGGUCACUCAGUGAUGGUCACUGUGAUGAUUCCCAUGAUGGUCACUCAGCGGUCACUCAGUGGUCACUCAGUGGUCACUCAGCGGUCACUCAGCGGUCACUCUGUGUCCCUCAGUGACGUACCCCGAGGUCCUGCAGUGUGUCAAUGUCACGCUGUUCUGUGUGAUGGUCACUGUGAUGGUUCCCAUGGUGAUCCCCAUGAUGGUCACUAUGAUGGUCAGUGUGAUGGUCACUCAUUGGUCACUCAGUGGUCACUCAUUGGUCACUCUGUGUCCCUCAGUGACCUACCCGGAAGUUCUCCAGUGUGUCAAUGUCACGCUGUUCUCAGUGAUGGUCACUGUGAUGGUCACUCAGUGGUCAGUGUGAUGGUCACUCAGUGGUCACUCAGUGGUCACUCUGUCCGCAGUGACGUACCCCGAGGUCCUGCAGUGUGUCAAUGUCACGCUGUUCUCUCCGGCCGAGUGUCGCCGUUUCUACCCCGGCUCCAUCACCGACAACAUGAUCUGUGCCGGACACCUG